UACGUAGGGGGCAAGCGUUAUCCGGAUUUACUGGGUGUAAAGGGAGCGUAGACGGCAGAGCAAGUCUGAAGUGAAAGCCCGCGGCCCAACUGCGGGACUGCUUUGGAAACUGCCCGGCUAGAGUGCUGGAGAGGUAAGUGGAAUUCCUAGUGUAGCGGUGAAAUGCGUAGAUAUUAGGAGGAACACCAGUGGCGAAGGCGGCUUACUGGACAGUAACUGACGUUGAGGCUCGAAAGCGUGGGGAGCAAACAGG
rnacentral:rRNA from 1 species